rnacentral:lncRNA from 1 species
CCAAGACAAAUAAGAAUGGUCUAAGCGCAGAGCCUUGGUGUAAACCCAUAACAACCGGAAAAUGCUCCUACUCUCCUCCUACAAUCCUAACAUUAGUCUUAGCUCCAUCAUACAUGUCCUUGAUCGUUCUUUGCCUCAAGACAUCUCCCUUUGCCUCUAGCUACCGGCACACCCUUUGCCUCAAGACAUCUCCAGAGCACCUCCC